UCCCCCCAAUUCCCCCAUUUUCCCACAUCCUCCCAGUUCCCCCAAAUCUUCCCAAUGCCCCCAAAUUCUACCCCCAUGUCCACAUUCCCCAAUGUUCCCAAAUCCCCAUAUUCCCAAAUUUCUCCUACAUCCCCAAAUUGCCAUGUCCCCAAAUCCCCCCAGUUCCCCCAUUUUCCCACAUCCCUAAAUUCCCCUGAAUCUCCCCAAUGCCCCCAAAUUCUACCCUCAUGUCCCUAGUUCCCAAUGUCCCCAAAUCCCCCAAAUGUCCCCAAAUCCCCCAAAUGUCCCCAGAUCUCUCCUACAUCCCAAAUUUCCACAUCCCCAAAUCCCCCCAGUGGCCCCAAAUUCUGUCCCCAUGUCCACAUUUCCCCCAUGUCCCCAAAUCUCUCCCACAUCCCCAAACUGCCAUGUCCCCAAAUGCCCCCAGUUCCCCCAUUUUCCCACAUCCCCAAAUUCCCCUGAAUCUCCCAAUGCCCCCAAAUUCUAUCCUCAUGUCCACAGUUCCCAAUGUUCCCAAAUCCUCCAAAUGUUCCCAAAUCCCCCAAAUCCCCGUGUUCCCAAAUCUCUCCUACUCCCCAAAUUGCCAUAUCCACAAAUCCCCCCAAUGACCCCAUUUUCCCAUAUCCCCAAAUUUCCCCAAAUCUCCCCAAUGCCCCCAAAUUCUACCCUCAUGUCCCCAGUUCCCAAAUCCCCCAAAUGUUCCCAAAUCUCUCCUACUCCCUAAAUUGCCAUAUCCACAAAUCCCCCCAAAUCCCCAUGUCCCCAAAUCUCUCCCACAUCCCCAAAUUUUCAUGUCCCCAAAUGCCCCCAGUUCCCCCAUUUUCCCACAUCCCCACUCCAUGCCCCACACUUGGGACCCACAUCAGGGUCCCAGGGAUGCAGGAUGGGAGAGGCAGCGCUCGAGGGGACAAGGACAUUGUCA
rnacentral:lncRNA from 12 species